CUUUGGGCUUCUCGCAGUAGUCUUUAAUUUACUUGGUCAGGUUCGGAAGAAAGCAGCCAGAAUUAGAAUAGCU
rnacentral:SRP_RNA from 1 species